AACCAACCAACUCAGCGCCCAAACAACCAGGUUCUUCGAAGACAGAAGAACCACAAACAGUGAUCGGCGGCCAUCAUGAGCAGUACAGAGAAUGCGAUGACCAGUAGGGCCACGACGACCAAGCUAUUUGGUGUGUCCCUGAA
rnacentral:ribozyme from 1 species